rnacentral:rRNA from 2 species
UUAGUGGCGAACGGGUGAGUAACACGUGGGCAAUCUGCCCUGCACUCUGGGACAAGCCCUGGAAACGGGGUCUAAUACCGGAUACUGACCCGCCUGGGCAUCCAGGCGGUUCGAAAGCUCCGGCGGUGCAGGAUGAGCCCGCGGCCUAUCAGCUUGUUGGUGAGGUAACGGCUCACCAAGGCGACGACGGGUAGCCGGCCUGAGAGGGCGACCGGCCACACUGGGACUGAGACACGGCCCAGACUCCUACGGGAGGCAGCAGUGGGGAAUAUUGCACAAUGGGCGAAAGCCUGAUGCAGCGACGCCGCGUGAGGGAUGACGGCCUUCGGGUUGUAAACCUCUUUCAGCAGGGAAGAAGCGCAAGUGACGGUACCUGCAGAAGAAGCGCCGGCUAACUACGUGCCAGCAGCCGCGGUAAUACGUAGGGCGCGAGCGUUGUCCGGAAUUAUUGGGCGUAAAGAGCUCGUAGGCGGCUUGUCGCGUCGGUUGUGAAAGCCCGGGGCUUAACCCCGGGUCUGCAGUCGAUACGGGCAGGCUAGAGUUCGGUAGGGGAGAUCGGAAUUCCUGGUGUAGCGGUGAAAUGCGCAGAUAUCAGGAGGAACACCGGUGGCGAAGGCGGAUCUCUGGGCCGAUACUGACGCUGAGGAGCGAAAGCGUGGGGAGCGAACAGGAUUAGAUACCCUGGUAGUCCACGCCGUAAACGGUGGGCACUAGGUGUGGGCGACAUUCCACGUCGUCCGUGCCGCAGCUAACGCAUUA